rnacentral:lncRNA from 11 species
GGCUUGGCUGUGGCUGGCUCUGUCCAUCCAUUCUUGCCUUGCCCAAUCUUGUGAGGCUGGGCUGAGCCUCUUGGCCUGUGUGCGCACCCUGAGUGGCUGGCGGGUGACCGUGCGCACCUUCCUUGUGCCAUGCUGGGGGUGGGCCCUUCCUCCUCCUCCUCCUCCUCCUCCUCCCCCCUCCCUUUCCCUCCCUCCUUGUGGCUUCGGGAGCAGCCAUGGAGGCGGCUGGGAUGCAGCUGCCAAGCAGCCGGAGGAAGGAUGGCGCAGGUGAAGUGGUCACCUCCAACACGGAAGUGAAUGAGGAGGAAGAGGAGGAUGAAGAGGACGAGGAGGAGGAAGAAGAAGAGGAGGAGGAGGAAGGGGAGGGAGUGCCGGUUAAGAACCUGGGCUCCUUGGACGACGACGACGAAGACGACAAGGCAUCGGACCUCUCUGACCAAGAGCUGGACCAGAACCUCAGAGCUCAGGUGCUCCAACUGCUGGACGACCUGGAAGAGGCCAGAGAGACGGCUCUCAAACAUGAGGACGACUCCUUGGAGUUGCAAGGCCUGCUGGAGGACGAGCGAUUGGCCAGCGCUCAGCAAGCGGAGAUCUUCACAAAGCAGAUCCAGAGGCUCCAAGCUCAGAUGCGUUCUCUGAAGGAUGAGUACGAUUCCCUGCAAGGAGUGAAGGAUGUUGAGCUGGAACGCGUCGAACGGGAGCUACGGGAAGCCAACGAGGAGAUCCACAACCUGCGCUUGGAUGCCGAGGAGGCCGCCGCUUUGCACGAAAACGAAAUCGCUGGCUUGCAAGAGGAGCUUUGCCGGCUGAAAGCGGAGCUGGAUCGGGUGCAGCAGGUCCGGAACGAGUAUGACAUGGAAAUCACUGCCCUGAGGGCCGAGAUCAAUAUGAAGAAGUCACCUCCAGGCACAUCAGCCAGCCCGUCUGUGUCUGAGUUGGCUACGAUGUCAGAUAUGGAAGAGCAGCUUUCCAACGCCAAUGAGGAAGUGGGCCACCUACAAGAGGAACUCCAGACCCUCAAGGCUCAAUACCACGACCUGAGCGACGAGUACCAGAUCUUGCAGGAGAGCAACAGGGUCAUGGUCCACCAGCUGGAGAGACUGGAAGCCAUCAAGUACAAGACCAGAAGCAAGUCGGAAUCCGAGUCCAUGGACUCGGAUUCAGAGCCGGAGCAGGUCCCGGUCGAUCCCAGCAUCCGCCGGGUCUCCAUCGCCCGGAGGAACACCCUGCGCGCGGGCGCCAGCGUCUCCUUCAAGUCGGUGGAGGUCGUGGGCACCAGCAGCACGGAGGGCGAGGAGAAGAUGGAGAAGCUGGAGGAGGAGGACGAGUAUGACCUAGAGAACCAGCUGAUGAUGGAGGAGGAGAAGGUGGAGCUGGUGCAGGCGCAAUACGAACCAGACACAUUCAGCUUGUCCCAGUCCAGCCACUACGGGUGGAGGACUAAGUCCAGAGAUCUCACGGAAGGAGAGUUCUCAGGAAGAAAGGCCUCUGAGUACGAACCAGACACAUUCAGCUUGUCCCGGUCCAGCUACCGCGGGUGGAGGACUAAGUCCAGAGAUCUCACGGAAGGAGAGUUCUCAGGAAGAAAGGCCUCUGAGUACGGACCAGACUCAUUCAGCUUGUCCUCGUCCAUCCACCGCGGGUGGAGGGCUAAGUCCAGAGAUCUCACGGAAGGAGAGCUCGCAGGAAGGAAGGCCUCUGAGUGCAACCAGGCUCGGAACAGUCUCCGCGAAAUGGAGUCCAAGUGCCGGCUCAGCCAGAGCGAGUGGGAGCAGUUGCACGAGGAGCUGCGGCUGUGCAAAGAAGAGAUCGAGCGGCUCAACGGCACCAUCCCCAUUGGCGGACGGGUCCCAGCCGGAGGGAUGAAGCCCUUGGCCGUCUUUGUCGCCUUGGCCGGGGCCUUGUUCCUGUAUCCCAGCCUGAAGAGAUGCAGCUCCAGUUGA